AUUGAACGCUGGCGGCAGGCCUAACACAUGCAAGUCGAACGGUAACAGGAAGCAGCUUGCUGCUUUGCUGACGAGUGGCGGACGGGUGAGUAAUGUCUGGGAAACUGCCCGAUGGAGGGGGAUAACUACUGGAAACGGUAGCUAAUACCGCAUAACGUCGCAAGACCAAAGAGGGGGACCUUAGGGCCUCUUGCCAUCGGAUGUGCCCAGAUGGGAUUAGCUAGUAGGUGGGGUAACGGCUCACCUAGGCGACGAUCCCUAGCUGGUCUGAGAGGAUGACCAGCCACACUGGAACUGAGACACGGUCCAGACUCCUACGGGAGGCAGCAGUGGGGAAUAUUGCAAAAUGGGCGCAAGCCUGAUGCAGCCAUGCCGCGUGUAUGAAGAAGGCCUUCGGGUUGUAAAGUACUUUCAGCGGGGAGGAAGGGAGUAAAGUUAAUACCUUUGCUCAUUGACGUUACCCGCAGAAGAAGCACCGGCUAACUCCGU
rnacentral:rRNA from 1 species